rnacentral:rRNA from 1 species
UACGUAGGGGGCAAGCGUUAUCCGGAUUUACUGGGUGUAAAGGGAGCGUAGACGGUGAUGCAAGUCAGAAGUGAAAGCCCGCGGCUCAACUGCGGGACUGCUUUUGAAACUGUAUGACUAGAGUGCAGGAGAGGUAAGCGGAAUUCCUAGUGUAGCUGUGAAAUGCGUAGAUAUUAGGAGGAACACCAGUGGCGAAGGCGGCUUACUGGACUGUAACUGACGUUGAGGCUCGAAAGCGUGGGGAGCAAACAGG